rnacentral:rRNA from 1 species
UACGUAGGGUGCGAGCGUUGUCCGGAAUUAUUGGGCGUAAAGGGCUCGUAGGCGGUUUGUCGCGUCGGGAGUGAAAACUCAGGGCUUAACCCUGAGCCUGCUUCCGAUACGGGCAGACUAGAGGUAUGCAGGGGAGAAUGGAAUUCCUGGUGUAGCGGUGAAAUGCGCAGAUAUCAGGAAGAACACCCGUGGCGAAGGCGGUUCUCUGGGACGGUACUGACGCUGAGACGCGAAAGCGUGGGGAGCGAACAGG